CACUCACCCCGUGAGCCCGUGACGACUCCUCGCCCAGCGGCCUCCUCUUCCUCUCCCAGACACCACGACUCCUCGAUCUCUCCCCAACAUCGUGAGCCGUGACUCCUCCUCGAUCUCUCCCCCACUCAAGAUCACCAGGGCGACUCCUCGAUUUCUUCCUCAUGUCGCCCCUCCUACUUGAUGCUGGAGGAGCAAGCGCAGGGGAGCCGUUCAAACCAUGCGGACCGACGCUGGGCAAAGGCGAGGCCGCGGCAAAGGCGUCAUAGGGCGGGGACGUCGCAAGGCUGGUGAGGCCGCGCGGUGGGGGCGUGGGCUGCUGCCCGUCGGGCGAGGACGCACGCCGCCGGCCACCGCCACCCCUUUCCUGCCGCUGGAGGAGCAAGCGCAGGGGAGCUGUCAAGGCCGCCCGGAUAGCCGCCGGGCAAGGCGAGGCCGCGACAGAGGCGUCACAGCCUCACAAGAUGCGGACGCGGCAAGGCCGAUGAGGCGCGUCACAGCGAGGCGAAGCUGCGCGGCUGGGCGGGGCCACCACCGGGCGAGGACGCGUCGAUGCGGGAGGCUGCUGCGGCAAGGGCGACCAAGAGCAGCGAGCUCCCCAAGUCAGUCACAGCCAUCUCCAGGAAGGACGUCUUGACCAUCGCCAGGAGCGGCAAGCUGUCCAAGGUGGUGGCUAGCGCUGAGCUCUCCAUUGCCGCCGUGCACCCAUGAGGAUUGGAUGGUGUGCUACAGUCGUUAGAAGAUCGGUAGGCUCUUCUUCCACACAUGCCACUUCAUGCUCCAGAGCAGGCUGCUCGCCUACUACAAGCCCAAGGACAGCAUGGCCGGAGUUCAAGAUUUCCAAUUUGUUGGAAUCCAAUAGCAAAAGAAAGAGAAUUACUGUAAUUCUACAGGAUGAAGAUGGUCAAAUUCUUCUUUAUUGCAAAGGACUAGACAGGUGCACUCAAGUCGUUGUUGAUAGAUGGGAAUUGCAGGAUGGAGGAUAGGGGGCUCAAAAAUCAUCAUGGGCAAGUUAAUGGGUGGUGAUGAGGAAAAAUAUCUCAUAGUCAGAGCAGCCAUUAUGUGCUUAUCAUUUAGAUGAUCGAAUCUUGUGGAUUCAUUAUCUAUAAAAUUUAUGACCACAUUGAUAUUACUCUCUGAACUUUGAGUAACUGAAUACCUACGCCUUUUUGUGUUUGUCAUCAUUACUACAGAUUAUGGUUCAUAAGCUGGGAAUUGAUGAGAGCAAGAUCGAGAACCUGGGCAAUCUGUUGUACAUGUGCUAUGAGAUUUUGGCACCAUGUAGAUCAACCCUGCUGUAUGAUCUUCAUUUCAAGGCUUGUAAGUUGUCAAUAGCUUGUUUUGAUUUUGGUUGUGGAAGAAGGCUGAUGAUAUGUGCACACCAACCCUGCUGCCUCUUCCUUUAGCAGAUGUGAGUAAACGAAUCUCAUAGAGAGAUGAAGGCAUAUACAAAAUGACAAGUAUUAUUGCUUUUCUUUUGUUCAUGACACCAGGAUUAGUGAGUUAAUGUUUUCUCCUAUAAAACUUAUAUGCUUGUCAAAUAUCGAAUAUCAUCUACUCACUACAUACUGCUCCUUGGUUGUGUUUGGUUGCAGAGGAACUAGCCAUUAAGAAGGCUUUACUAAAGGUAGCAGCAGAAAUGUUAGUACAUUUCGUAGCACGAGAGAAUGAUCCUUCUAACUAAAAAUAUAUUUUCCUAUGGAUGAAUCUUUGUUUGAGAUUUUCUUAGCUCUAUACCGAUUUCAUGCAAAGAUAGCCAUAUUUGCAGCCUUUUACCUUUUAAAGCUACCACCAGAGCUGGCAUUUAGAAAAGAUAAUUAUAAACCUGUUAGAAUGUUAAGCGUGGAAUGGGUCAAUCUGACUUAAUGUUGUUUUUUUCAUUCUUUUUCUUUGGAGAUGCACACGCAUACAAUGAUAGUUUAAACCAUUCAUACAAUGAAUAAAGUCAACUAUCAAUGGAAUUAUCAUUGCUCUCUUUUUAUAAUUAAUUUUUAUUAACCAGAUAGUGGAUGGAUGCAUGCAGAUAUUAAAGAAUGACAUGUGCCACGAUAUUAAUUGCUUGGACCGUGGCCUGACAUGUGCCACGAUAUUAAAGAAUGCAGCACUGUUCUAUUGCCAUAUCAUCACGAUAGACUCUAUUUUGAUAGCUGUUACUUGAUUUUGGUUUGGAGGGCAGUGCUCCCAUGUAAUGCAUCUUCUAAACUGUGGAUGACAAUGUACAUCCUAGGACCUCUUGUAUGAUCCUUUUAUUUCGUCUCCUGACAUUCUUGAAUACCUUGAUAGCUGUGACUUGAUUUUUGGUUUGAAUGGCAAAUGCUCUUGUGUAACUACAUGUACUACAUCUUCUUGAUUGGAUGGCAAUUUACAUCUUAGAACCUCUUACUCAAAAGAACCUACUGGAAAUACUGAACUGAUAAUUAUACUGAUUGAUCAGGUUGGAACCAAAAGAGACAAGGCCACUUUGGAUGAUACAACCAACAGAAUCAACAAGCUACUAUACAAGAUUCGAUCCAUACAGAUGUGUGGCUCAUUGGCGUUAAACAUGUGUGGAGUUGCCUGUGGUAGACUUGAUUUGUGUUAUGAGAUGGGAUUUGGUGGCCUCUGAUUUAGGUCAUUCGAUGACGAAAUUAGUAGCUUCGUCAUGGUUGACAAGUGGCGGAGCUUUGGCACGAAGAACAGUGACGAAAAUGGAAACAACGUCAUUGAUCAUCAUAACUAAAUCGUCAGACUGUUGGCAAUAGUGGGUCCCAUGGGCAUGACGUGGCACCAUGGUGGCACCUGUUGGUCCCACGUUGUUGACGUGUCGUCAUGGUCCCACAAGUGGGUCCCUACCGACGGGUCCCACCAUCAUAACGUGACGCCGUGGUCCCACCCUGUUGACGUGGCGACAGGAUUCCACCAGUGGUCCCUGCCUCGCUGACGUGGUGGCGUGGUCCUGCUAGCGGGCCCCACGUCCGAUGUGGCCAUGCGAGGCUCAAUCUGCUGUGCGGAUGGUUUUUAUUUUAUUUGGCAAAAAAACACGCUCCAUGGGAGCUUGGACCCCACAACCUAUUGCUGCAAGAACAGAUUAUAGUGUUGUUUAUUCCCCUAAAAAUAUAAAUCUCAACCUUGUUUUAAAAAUGUUUCAUGCUAAGCAAUCAACGCUAUCGACGGUUCCAAGGCUAGCUGUAUCAGCAACUCAGCGAACAAAAACAUGAUCAACUCCCCCACGCUGACCAGGUACCCUGGGAGCUCGGCCUGAAGCUGCGCCAGAAUGUGAUGAAAUUAUUAUAGUGAGCUAAAUCUUGCAUGCUUCAGAUUAAUGGAUACAACCAUGGAUAUGACUCAGGUUCUACUAGAUGCUCAAUCUUGAGAUGCUAACCUUCGAACAGUAGCAGAAAGCAACCUCACACAGUUCCAGGAGCAGAAGCUUUAAGCUACGCUCAACUGUCUAUGUGACUCAGAUUUGAUGUACUACUUUCUCAACUUGGGUAGCAGCAACAAUAAGGUCUGAAGCUUUCUCUACAAGUACCUGCACAUGAUUUUGCUGUGAUCUUAGUGGCAAAUUGUUGUGAUCUUCACUGAACAGAAAUGACAGUGGUGUUGCUAGUGGUUGCCUGUGGCCCUAGUUUAGUAGUGUUAUUGUGAAUUUGGUUGAGUUGGGAGUCAAGUACUGAUGUCCCUAGUUAUCUUGCUACUGAUGUCAAGUUAGUUGUGAGUCAAGUACUGAUGUUAAGUGAGUUAUGCAAUAACUUAUGUUGCCACUUUGUGGAAUCUUUUAGUCAUUUCAAUGUUAUUAAAAAAAUGCAUGUUUCAUUCCUA